rnacentral:tRNA from 1 species
AAAGAAAGUGAAAGAAAUAAAGUUUUAACUUAACCUCCCGUCCUUUCCAACAAAGCAAUCAUUCUUGCAAAGGCUUUUUUGUUU